GAUAUCUCAAGGAACCUAAAGCCAGGCUGGCAGCCAACAAGUCAUAGAGAUCCUGUCGCCAUCUGCCAUGAUGCUAAAGUUUAAGUAGCCAAAGCCUAGGCGAAUCCUUCAGGAGACAAAAAGCCUGGGCGAAUCCUUCAGGAGACAAAAAGCCUAGGUGAAUCUCUCAGGAGACAAGUGAAGAGGAACGUUCCUGCAGCAAAGAUGGCGUGAAUAGGGGUGCAUCUGGCUGGGAGGCCAGUGAGAAAACACACAAUCCUAGGCUCUGACAAGGACAGACAAGCAGGACUCCAGCUGUGUGCCAUCAUGUGUGGAACACAGAGUGGUUAUAUCCUAGCUCAGCCAUACCAGUUGGGUUAUAACAGGCAAGUCACAUAAAUGUUCCUUGCCACAGUAAAAGGAAACUUGGCAUGAGAGUGAAUCUAUAUUUAUAAAACACUGAUGAUA